CAGCCGCCGCGGGAAUACGGAGGGUGCAAGCGUUAUCCGGAUUUAUUGGGUUUAAAGGGUCCGUAGGCGGAUCUGUAAGUCAGUGGUGAAAUCUCACAGCUUAACUGUGAAACUGCCAUUGAUACUGCAGGUCUUGAGUAAAUUUGAAGUGGCUGGAAUAAGUAGUGUAGCGGUGAAAUGCAUAGAUAUUACUUAGAACACCAAUUGCGAAGGCAGGUCACUAAGAUUUAACUGACGCUGAUGGACGAAAGCGUGGGGAGCGAACAGGAUUAGAUACCCGAGUAGUCCCUGUCUCUUAUAC
rnacentral:rRNA from 1 species